rnacentral:rRNA from 1 species
UGGGGAAUUUUGGACAAUGGGCGAAAGCCUGAUCCAGCAAUGCCGCGUGUGUGAAGAAGGCCUUCGGGUUGUAAAGCACUUUUGUCCGGAAAGAAAUCCUUGGCUCUAAUACAGUCGGGGGAUGACGGUACCGGAAGAAUAAGCACCGGCUAACUACGUGCCAGCAGCCGCGGUAAUACGUAGGGUGCAAGCGUUAAUCGGAAUUACUGGGCGUAAAGCGUGCGCAGGCGGUUUGCUAAGACCGAUGUGAAAUCCCCGGGCUAACCUGGGAACUGCAUUGGUGACUGGCAGGCUAGAGUAUGGCAGAGGGGGGUAGAAUUCCACGUGUAGCAGUGAAAUGCGUAGAGAUGUGGAGGAAUACCGAUGGCGAAGGCAGCCCCCUGGGCCAAUACUGACGCUCAUGCACGAAAGCGUGGGGAGCAAACAGGAUUAGAUACCCUGGUAGUCCACGCCCUAAACGAUGUCAACUAGUUGUUGGGGAUUCAUUUCCUUAGUAACGUAGCUAACGCGUGAAGUUGACCGCCUGGGGAGUACGGUCGCAAGAUUAAAACUUAAAUGAAUUGACGGGGUCAUAGCUGUUUCCU